UCUCCGUUGGUGAACCAGCGGAGGGAUCAUUAUCGAGUUUAUAACUCCCAAACCCUAUGUGAACUUACCACUUGUUGCUUCGGCGCGCGCUUCGGCGCCGCCGAGGACACUUAAACUCUUUGUUUUUAUAAGCAUUUCUGAGUGGCCGAAAGGCAAAAUACAAAUGAAUCAAAACUUUCAAUAACGGAUCUCUUGGUUCUG
rnacentral:misc_RNA from 1 species